UACAGGGGGUGCAAACGUUGCUCGGAAUUAUUGGGCGUAAAGCGCGCGUAGGCGGCUACUUAAGUCGGAUGUGAAAGCCCCUGGCUCAACUGGGGAAGUGCACCCGAAACUGAGUGGCUUGAGUGCGAAAGAGGGGUCGCGGAAUUCCCGGUGUAGAGGUGAAAUUCGUAGAUAUCGGGAGGGACACCGGUGGCGAAGGCGGCGACCUGGGUCGACACUGACGCUGAGGCGCGAAAGCGUGGGGAGCAAACAGG
rnacentral:rRNA from 1 species